rnacentral:rRNA from 1 species
UGGGGAAUUUUGGACAAUGGGCGCAAGCCUGAUCCAGCAAUGCCGCGUGCAGGAAGAAGGCCUUCGGGUUGUAAACUGCUUUUGUACGGAACGAAAAGGCUCUCUCUAAUACAGGGGGCUGAUGACGGUACCGUAAGAAUAAGCACCGGCUAACUACGUGCCAGCAGCCGCGGUAAUACGUAGGGUGCGAGCGUUAAUCGGAAUUACUGGGCGUAAAGCGUGCGCAGGCGGUUUUGUAAGACAGGUGUGAAAUCCCCGGGCUCAACCUGGGAAUGGCGUUUGUGACUGCAAAGCUGGAGUGCGGCAGAGGGGGAUGGAAUUCCGCGUGUAGCAGUGAAAUGCGUAGAUAUGCGGAGGAACACCGAUGGCGAAGGCAAUCCCCUGGGCCUGCACUGACGCUCAUGCACGAAAGCGUGGGGAGCAAACAGGAUUAGAUACCCUGGUAGUCCACGCCCUAAACGAUGUCAACUGGUUGUUGGGUCUUUACUGACUCAGUAACGAAGCUAACGCGUGAAGUUGACCGCCUGGGGAGUACGGCCGCAAGGUUG